rnacentral:pre_miRNA from 1 species
UACAUACUCCCUCCGUCCGGAAUUACUUGUCACACAAAUGGAUAAAAAUGGAUAUAUCUAGAACUAAAAUACAUCUAGAUACAUCCAUUCCUAUGACAAAUAUUUCCGGACAGAGGGAGUAUAAG